CCUACGGGAGGCAGCAGUGAGGAAUAUUGGUCAAUGGGCGCGAGCCUGAACCAGCCAAGUCGCGUGAGGGAAGACGGUCCUAUGGAUUGUAAACCUCUUUUGUCGGGGAGCAAAAGACGCCAUGCGUGGCGUUCCGAGAGUACCCGAAGAAAAAGCAUCGGCUAACUCCGUGCCAGCAGCCGCGGUAAUACGGAGGAUGCGAGCGUUAUCCGGAUUUAUUGGGGUAAAGGGGUGCGCAGGCGGAAGAUCAAGUCAGCGGGAAAAUUGAGGGGCCAAACCUCUUCGAGCCGGUGAAACUGGGUUUCUUGAGUGAGUGAGAAGUAUGCGGAAUGCGUGGUGUAGCGGUGAAAUGCAUAGAUAUCACGCAGAACUCCGAUUGCGAAGGCAGCAUACCGGCGCUCAACUGACGCUCAUGCACGAAAGUGUGGGUAGCGAACAGGAUUAGAUACCCGUGUAGUC
rnacentral:rRNA from 1 species